AUUGAACGCUGGCGGCAUGCUUUACACAUGCAAGUCGAACGGUAACAGGGAGCUUGCUCCGCUGACGAGUGGCGAACGGGUGAGUAAUAUAUCGGAACGUACCCAAGAGUGGGGGAUAACGUAGCGAAAGUUACGCUAAUACCGCAUACGAUCUAAGGAUGAAAGCAGGGGACCUUCGAGCCUUGUGCUCCUGGAGCGGCCGAUAUCUGAUUAGCUAGUUGGUGAGGUAAAGGCUCACCAAGGCGACGAUCAGUAGCUGGUCUGAGAGGACGACCAGCCACACUCGAACUGAGACACGGUCCAGACUCCUACGGGAGGCAGCAGUGGGGAAUUUUGGACAAUGGGCGCAAGCCUGAUCCAGCAAUGCCGCGUGAGUGAAGAAGGCCUUCGGGUUGUAAAGCUCUUUUGUCAGGGAAGAAACGGGAUUGGCUAAUAUCCAGUCCUAAUGACGGUACCUGAAGAAUAAGCACCGGCUAACUACGUG
rnacentral:rRNA from 1 species